rnacentral:rRNA from 1 species
UACGUAGGGUGCAAGCGUUAAUCGGAAUUACUGGGCGUAAAGCGUGCGCAGGCGGUUUUGUAAGUCAGAUGUGAAAUCCCCGGGCUUAACCUGGGAACUGCGUUUGAAACUACAAGGCUAGAGUGUGGCAGAGGGGGGUGGAAUUCCACGUGUAGCAGUGAAAUGCGUAGAGAUGUGGAGGAACACCGAUGGCGAAGGCAGCCCCCUGGGUUAACACUGACGCCUCAGGCGCGAAAGCGUGGGGAGCAAACAGGG